AGUAUAUAAUAAUUACGAAAGCAAAAAAUUAUGGCGGUAUUUUAAGCUUUUCAGAGGAAUUUGCUCUUUAAUGGAUAAAACACCUAAAUCUUACUUAAAUUUGUUAAAUCAACUUGUAUACCACUAUUAAAACAAUUAUUAACUCUAAUUGUUAAUAUUUAAAACAUAAAUUAAUUUAAAUUAAGUCAAGGUGCAGUAAAAAUUUAAGAAUGAAGUGAAUUACAUUACUUUUAAGGGAAAUAAAAUUAAAUAAAGUUUAGGAUUUGAAAGUAAAAUUAAAAUAGAAUGUUAAUUUGAAUUAAGCUCUAAAAUAUGUACAUAUCGCCCGUCACUCUUUUUUAAGA
rnacentral:rRNA from 1 species